rnacentral:lncRNA from 1 species
UUGAACAUACUAUUAUCAUGACUAUUGAGGGAAUUGUUUCUUCAUACAUAAUUGCAAUUGUUUUAAUAAUUUUUAAUGUCUUGGCGUAACGGUGUUUCGUCACAGUCAUUUCCGAUAGUGUAAUGUUUUUUCACACGUGCAUUCAAUCAAUUCACGUGAUGUAGUUUAAAAGAUAUGCACCGUAAAUUAAUUUUACACUGACAUUCAAUAAAAAUAAUUUAAACUUUUACAUCAUAUCAGGAAAUUCGAGUGAAGUGGGGUAAUGUGGCGGAAUACAUGAUUGUUAUUGGUUAAUAGUGUAAAAUGAUUUAACAAUAUGUCGGCGCAUAUUCAUUUUUCUCAUAAUAAUAAAAAAAAAUCUAUGAGUUAAAAUUUAUAGAGAAAGACGAUUAUGAGAAGUAACUAACAGGAACAGGUGAUGGCCAAAAUAGAUCAGGUUAAUCGACAAAGGUCUAUGACAGACUCACGGGCUUAAUGAUUUUAUAGAAGACUAUUUGGCUACGCAAGUGAUCACAAUUUAAACCAUAA